GGAUGCAAUCAUACCAGCACUAAAGCACCAGAUCCCAUCAGAACAUCGAAGUUAACCAUGCUUGGGCGAGAGUAGUACUAGGAUGGGUGACCUCCUGGGAAGUCCUCGUGUUGCAUUCC
rfam:Triticum aestivum genome assembly, contig: Triticum_aestivum_CS42_TGACv1_scaffold_392481_5AS